rnacentral:rRNA from 1 species
UACGAAGGGGGCGAGCGUUGUUCGGAUUUACUGGGCGUAAAGGGCUCGUAGGCGGCCAACUAAGUCGGAUGUGAAAUCCCCAGGCUUAACCUGGGAACUGCAUCCGAUACUGGAUGGCUUGAAUCCGGGAGAGGGAUGCGGAAUUCCAGGUGUAGCGGUGAAAUGCGUGGAUAUCUGGAGGAACACCGGUGGCGAAGGCGGCAUCCUGGACCGGCAUUGACGCUGAGGAGCGAAAGCCAGGGGAGCAAACGGG